ACAGCUCAGUUGGUAGAGCAUGAAACUCUUAAUCUUAAGAGUUGUGUGUUCAAGCCCCACGUUGGGUG